UACGUAGGGCGCGAGCGUUAAUCGGAAUUACUGGGCGUAAAGCGGGCGCAGACGGUUACUUAAGCAGGAUGUGAAAUCCCCGGGCUCAACCUGGGAACUGCGUUCUGAACUGGGUGACUAGAGUGUGUCAGAGGGAGGUAGAAUUCCACGUGUAGCAGUGAAAUGCGUAGAGAUGUGGAGGAAUACCGAUGGCGAAGGCAGCCUCCUGGGAUAACACUGACGUUCAUGCCCGAAAGCGUGGGGAGCAAACAGG
rnacentral:rRNA from 1 species